rnacentral:rRNA from 1 species
UCGUAAAUAUUAACUUACGCACAAAAACGCCCGGGAACUACGAGCUCUAGCUUAAAACCCAAAGGACUUGACGGUGUCCCACCCAACUAGAGGAGCCUGUCCUAUAAUCGAUGGUCCCCGAUACACCCAACCUUUUCUUGCUCAUCAGUCUGUAUACCUCCGUCGCAAAUCUACCAUAUGAAUGAUAUAUAGUUCGGUUCAAUGAUCACUUCAUCAGAACGUCAGGUCAAGGUGCAACCUAUGAAAAGGCAAGUGAUGGGCUACAAUUUCUAACCUAGAACAAACGAAAUACUGCAUGAAACACAGGAACGAAGGAGGAUUUAGAAGUAAAGAGAAAAUAACGUGUUCUCUUUAACAUGGCCCUGGGACAUGUACACACCGCCCGUCGCCCUCUUCGAUACGAAUACUUCAGUUUUUAACCUAACAACAUAUGAGAGAAGAGGUAAGUCGUAACAUGGUAAGUGUACUGGAAAGUGCACUUGGAAUAA